rnacentral:rRNA from 1 species
UAAGGAAUAUUGGUCAAUGGACGCAAGUCUGAACCAGCCAUGCCGCGUGAAGGAUGAAGGUCCUCUGGAUUGUAAACUUCUUUUAUCUGGGACGAAAACGGGAUUUUUAUCUCAAUUGACGGUACCAGAGGAAUAAGCACCGGCUAACUCCGUGCCAGCAGCCGCGGUAAUACGGAGGGUGCAAGCGUUAUCCGGAUUCACUGGGUUUAAAGGGUGCGUAGGUGGGCAGAUAAGUCAGUGGUGAAAUCUUCCGGCUUAACCGGAAAAUUGCCGUUGAUACUAUUUGUCUUGAAUAUUGUGGAGGUAAGCGGAAUAUGUCAUGUAGCGGUGAAAUGCUUAGAUAUGACAUAGAACACCAAUUGCGAAGGCAGCUUACUAUAUAAUUAUUGACACUGAGGCACGAAAGCGUGGGUAGCGAACA